rnacentral:rRNA from 1 species
GUCGAACGAAGGAGAAAGAGCUUGCUCUUUGAAUUGAGUGGCAAACGGGUGAGUAACACGUAAACACCUGCCUUCAGGAUGGGGACAACAGACGGAAACGACUGCUAAUACCGAAUAAGGCCGCAUGGCGAAAGGUGGCCUUCUUAGCUAUCGCCUGAAGAGGGGUUUGCGUCUGAUUAGCUGGUUGGAGGGGUAACGGCCCACCAAGGCGACGAUCAGUAGCCGGUCUGAGAGGAUGAACGGCCACACUGGAACUGAGACACGGUCCAGACUCCUACGGGAGGCAGCAGUGGGGAAUCUUCCGCAAUGGGCGAAAGCCUGACGGAGCAACGCCGCGUGAGUGAUGACGGCCUUCGGAUUGUAAAGUUCUGUGAUCCGGGACGAGCAUCAGUGAGAACAUUGAUGAUGUUGACGGUACCGGAAAAGCAAGCCACGGCUAACUACGUGCCAGCAGCCGCGGUAAUACGUAGGUGGCAAGCGUUGUCCGGAAUUAUUGGGCGUAAAGCGCGCGCAGGCGGCGUGCAAGUCCAUCUUAAAAGCGUGGGGCUUAACCCCAUGAGGGGAUGGAAACUGCAGGCUGGAGUGUCGGAGGGGAAAGUGGAAU